ACGGGAGGCAGCAGUGGGGAAUAUUGCACAAUGGGGGAAACCCUGAUGCAGCGACGCCGCGUGAGUGAAGAAGUAUUUCGGUAUGUAAAGCUCUGUCAGCAGGGAAGAAAAUGACGGUACCUGACUAAGAAGCCCCGGCUAACUACGUGCCAGCAGCCGCGGUAAUACGUAGGGGGCAAGCGUUAUCCGGAUUUACUGGGUGUAAAGGGAGCGUAGACGGCAUGGCAAGUCUGAUGUGAAAGCCCGGGGCUCAACCCCGGUACUGCAUUGGAAACUGUUAAGCUAGAGUGCAGGAGAGGUAAGUGGAAUUCCUAGUGUAGCGGUGAAAUGCGUAGAUAUUAGGAGGAACACCAGUGGCGAAGGCGGCUUACUGGACCGUAAAUGACGCUGAGGCUCGAAAGCGUGGGGAGCAAACAGGAUUAGAUACCCUGGUA
rnacentral:rRNA from 1 species